rnacentral:lncRNA from 1 species
AGAGAUUCUCAUGCAAGAGCCCACCUCCGCAUGGAAGCCUGUCGCAGGACGCUCAAGUAUGCUUGGCAGGACCCUUCGUACAACCUUGCUGCUGAUGGCAGUCUUCCAAAGAAAGCAGAGAAAGAGCUCUUUGAAAAUGUGCAGCCCCCAAAGAAACACAGGUAAAAUGUGCAAGGGAUUUCUGUUGGUGGAGUCUGUCUGGCCUUGGACUCCCUCAUGCUGGUACAAGUACAUUCCUUAACAUUUUUACUUUGAUUUGCUACUGUGUGUGCCAGCAUGUACAUUUUUGUCUUGUGAUACUGAUCAAAGCAUCUGGGACUAGAGGGAAGGGGAGGCUCUUUACCCUUCAGCUCAUCCUGAGCAGGGUCUUGGUAUGUGAUGUGAUACACUCUUUCUACCAAACAGUAGUUUCAUCCACCUGUGAGUCCUGAGAACUUGGAACAGAAUUCAAAGCUUUAUAUUCAUUGAAUGCAUGUGUGGAUAAAUGCCUGAACACUAUAGUAAGGUGCCUCCAAUUCCCUUAAGAAUCUAAGAAAAUACAAUUUUUCCUUUUAAGCAUUUUUUUUUCUGUUCCUGACCCAGUGAAAUGUUAGGGAUAUAACAUGUGUUGUAAUUUUUCAUCUUUAGAAUUUUGCUUAACAUUAUAGUGGUUACUAGCAUACGUGAGUUAAACCAUUCCACACAUUUAGCAGUUAGCAUUUGAGCAUGCACAGAACAGGGGCUUUAAUGAAGCAACUUAGAUUAAAAUGUCAGUGUAGACUGAUAUUUAUACUGUGUCACAUAUCUGCUUAAUAUUUUAAUGUCCUUAAGGAAGAGAUUUACUUAAAUGAACUUCCUGGUAUAUCCUUAUUCUCUUAUGAUAAUUCUUUACUAGAAACUUUGGAGCCCAGAACCCAGAAGUGACAGAAGGAAAAAUAUUUCUGCUUGCACAGAACACCAUUAUUUUUCUGUUUCCACCCUGCAUACUUCCUCUCCUCUCUCUCAUUUUGUUUGAUUUUUGCCUUUUCUUCUUCUGCUAUACUACUUCUGUCUGUACUUUCUUUCUCUUAGCUGAACAUUUUUUCAAAUGUUCUUUUAGAUAAACAUUCAUUACUUUCAUAAAAUAAGCUCAGGAGUCCACUUUAAUUUUUUCUUAGUAACAUGCAGUGUGUGUGUGUGUGUUUGUGUGUGUGAAUGUAUGUCAUAUGUGAGUGCAAGCUGGUGGAGGGCGUUGAAUCCCUGGAGCUGGAGUACGAAAUGCCUGUGAACUAGUUGGUGGAUGCUGCAAGCCAAACUCAAACCCUCUAAAGGAGCAGCAGCAUGCUCCCUCCAGCCCGGGGAUUCUACUUUUCAUACCAGCUUAUGGGCACACUGUGGGUGGCCUUGCUGUUGUGCUCUUGGAAUAUUUACCACUGCAAGGUUAACAGCUCACGGGGAAGGUCUCCCCGGCAGAGCUCAGCGCUCCAGUGCAUGCACCUCCAGGGGCCAUUUUCUUGUUACUAACAGUUUCCUUUCUUAGCCAUGUCCCAAAGCAUAGGAGAUCAUGGAAGCUGUGUCACCAGGAGUUUGAAUACAGAGAUGGGCAAAUCAUCAGCCUCGCUGCUCCUCAGCUGGUCCUGGGGGUACAAGUCUCCAAACCCUGUUCAGGCACAGAGGUCAUUUUGGUGGAAAAGAGAUCUGAUGAAAGUCGCCAACAUUGGACACACAAGGCAGACAGCAGGUAAACCCAUUGCCUUGGGAGGUUUACACAUCAAACUGGGCUUGACAUCCUGAGGUCUGGUGUGGUCUCCACACAGCAGGCAGGAAUAUAGUUGAGUACCUCGGAAUUUCUAUUUCACUUGGCUAAAAAUUCUUUAUCCUAGUAAAAGAAGAGACAGAGAGAUAGGUACGAAUUUUAGGUAAGCUACAUACAACUUUACCAGCUGUUAGAUUCAGAAAAGUGUUCUAUUCAUUUGACAGGGCCAUUGGCUCAAGACUAGGUACUCAUCUAAUUUAUGUUUGCAACAGAAAGAAAUCUAAAAGGAAUUCUAAAGCAUUUCCAAUUUUGAAAUAUUUGGAGACCUUUGUUUACCUAUCUCUCCCCACUUAAGUACCUACCCAGUUUUUCAUUCAUGAAAAGAAUUUAAGUGGUUUAUACUCAUACAGUAAGCAUGACUUACUAUUAUUGAUCAAAUGUACUAACCUAAUUCAAUGUCUGGCCUUUGGUCCAGAUGCAGAAUUCUCACAAACAUUUUCUUGAGAAGAUCAGAAGAAAUCUAAAACAACUUAGAUAUGUGAUUCUAUUAAGGAAAUAUUACUAAUCUUGUUGAUCACUGGUCAGUGGUUAUGUUGAAAUAGAAAAUGGGUCCUGAUUACUUAAGUGUAUAUUUAGAGAUAAAAAUCCAAGCUAUUUCAAUCGGUUUUAUUUUAGGUUUUCUAGCAAAAGUCUGGAGAGAUGACUCAGCAGUUAAGAGUAUUUGUUGCUCUUGCAGAGGACCAGAGCUCAGGUCCCAGAACCCACAGAAGAGUCGGUCCCAAACUGUCUGUCUAAACUCUGGGGGGAUCCAACAUCUUUCUUGGCCUCCAUGGGCACCUGAAUGCACAUGUGCAUGCAUACAGCAGACAUGUAUUUAUACACACGCUUAAAAGUAAAUAAAUCAUAAAUUCUAGCAAAAAUUAAAAAGUCAAGUUUCACAUAAAUGAACCAAGACAGAAUGUUGACAAUGUUUAGCUCCAUGAUGUUUCAUUGCACAUUUCUAUUUAUUUUUGUGUACAUUUGAACGUUAAUUUAACAAGGAAAAAUAACAUUCCUGUUUGUUCUUUAUUGCUCUACUUAGAAUUCUACCAUUACAUAUAGCGGGUUUCUAGUGAUCUCUUCAGUCUCUUGCAUACUGUUCAGGGAUGUAUAUUCAGGCAGCUGAGCAAAACAUUUCUUAAUGGGAAGGAGCUGUGACUUCCACUGUAUUCUCUAAAUAUCAGCACUGCCCAUGGCUUAGGCCUUUGCACUUUGUGGCAGAUUGAAAAAGUCCAUGGAGGUAGCAUCAGCAAUCCUGACAUGGCAGGAACAGAGCUUGCUCUACUGUGUACAAUAGAGAGCACACAAUAGCCAUUGGUUGUGUGUUGGCGAAGCUGGACAGAGCUGCUAGACGUGUUUCUUUACUCCAUCCACCAGGGCUAUGCUGUCUGUGUGGUGAGGAGCUAGAAUAGGCUUUUUGUUCUACAAGUGACUAGCUAUAUGGACCAUAAUUCACUCAUUCAGCCGACAUUAUGUAUGCAUUAAAGCAAGAAUGUACCAAGAGGAUGUUACAGGGCAUCCAUUUUCAUAAAACAAGUGCUAUUGUGGUUUUUUUUUUUUUUUUAAUCACAAACCGACCCUGACACAGUGACAGUGGAUAACUUCAGUUGCCCACUCUUACCAAUAGGUCAUCCAGAAAAAAGCUAAAUAAAGAAACUCUGGAGUUAAAUAAUAUUAUAAAUCGAAUGGAUCUAACAGACAGCUACAGAGUAUCCCAGCCAAAUGCUAAAAUAAAGAAUAGAGUUUCUUCUCGUCAGCCCAUGAGAACGUCUUCAAAUUGACCACAUUUUCGCAUACAAAGCAAGUCUCAGCAAAUUUAGAAAAAUCGAAACAACAUCCUGCACCCUCACCACCAUAGAUUAAUGUUACAGGUUAUUGAAAGCGUUGUUUUAGGAAUGGAACUUCAGCAAAAAACUAAAAAUGCUCAAGAUUCCUGUUCCUGUAGAACUGGAAUCCUAGAGCUACUGAGAUAUGUGUCAAAUUUAGAGCAACUUUCUGCCUUGUCUUUCUGGAUUGUGAUAGAGUUCCCAUGAUUGCUGUUUUAAAUUAAAAUUGAUUUUUAUGCAAC